rnacentral:rRNA from 1 species
UGCAAGUCGAACGGACGAAUAAGAGCUUGCUCUUAUAAGUUAGUGGCGCACGGGUGAGUAAUAUAUAGCUAAUCUGCCUCUUAGUAGAGGAUAACAGUCGGAAACGAUUGCUAAUACUCUAUACUUCUGCUUUACAUAAGUAAAGUAGAGAAAGUUUUUCGCUAAGAGAUGAGGCUAUACUGUAUCAGCUAGUUGGUAAGGUAACGGCUUACCAAGGCUAUGACGCAUAACUGGUCUGAGAGGAUGAUCAGUCACAUUGGAACUGAGACACGGUCCAAACUCCUACGGGAGGCAGCAGUAGGGAAUAUUGCGCAAUGGGGGAAACCCUGACGCAGCAACGCCGCGUGGAGGAUGACACUUUUCGGAGCGUAAACUCCUUUUAUCGGGAAAGAAUAAUGACGGUACCCGAUGAAUAAGCACCGGCUAACUCCGUGCCAGCAGCCGCGGUAAUACGGAGGGUGCAAGCGUUACUCGGAAUCACUGGGCGUAAAGGGUGCGUAGGUGGAUUAUCAAGUCUCUUGUGAAAUCUAAUAGCUUAACUAUUAAAUUGCUUGGGAAACUGAUAGUCUAGAGUAGGGGAGAGGCAGAUGGAACUCUUGGUGUAGGAGUAAAAUCC